rnacentral:rRNA from 1 species
CCUACGGGUGGCAGCAGUGAGGAAUAUUGGUCAAUGGGCUUACGCCUGAACCAGCCAAGUCGCGUGAGGGAAGACUGCCCUAUGGGUUGUAAACCUCUUUUGUCAGGGAGCAACGCCGGCUACGUGUAGCCGGACUGAGAGUACCUGAGGAAAAAGCAUCGGCUACCUCCGUGCCUGCAGCCUCGGUAAUACGGGGGAUGCGAGCGUUAUCCGGAUUUAUUGGGUUUAAAGGGUGCGUAGGCGGAAUGCCAAGUCAGCGGUAAAAUCGCGGGGCUCAACCUCGCUCCGCCGUUGAAACUGGCGGUCUUGAGUGGGCGAGAGGUAUGCGGAAUGCGUGGUGUAGCGGUGAAAUGCAUAGAUAUCACGCAGAACUCCGAUUGCGAAGGCAGCAUACCGGAGCCCAACUGACGCUGAAGCACGAAAGCGUGGGUAUCGAACAGGAUUAGAUACCCGGGUAGUC